CCCGCGAUUCACGCGCAUAGUCUGGAGGGGGCUUUAGAAUAAGACCUAUAGGGAUGGAGAUAAACCUUCAAAUUUCGAUAAUCACAGUAGCCGUCCAGAGGCUUCUACAGCGAAUACUGAAGUACGCAAAUUCGGCACCUUUCUCUUUUACUCUAAUUAAGGCGUAAUUAAGGUGACAAAGAAAGAUGGCCGCAAUUUGGUAACCGCGGUGUUCGCGGUUAUAGCCAAGUGAACGCGUUUAAAAACUGUUGUGAAAAAGCACCCUUAAGUAGUUAAGUUCUAUCAAUAAGUAACAUUAUUAUUUAAAUCAUAUCAACUUUCCUAAUAACAACAUAUUUCAAAGGCACGAAACUAUUAUAGAUGGUUUCAACUCUUUUUGAUACUUAGACACAUGGAUAAAGCGUCCGAACACGGUAGUGUGACUAAAUAGUUAUUUGUUUUACAAGGGGGCAAAGUUGUUGUUUAACCGCUCGUGCUAAAAUUGAUACCCGAGCAAGCGAAAGAUUCCAAAAUAAAUGGAAUCUUGAGCGUUGCGAGGGUUUCAAAGCACGAGGGUUAAACAAAAUUUGCCCUCGAGUGAAACACAAAAUUUUUCACCACACCAACCCGAAGCAAAUAUUAAAUGUAAAAUAUCAAACAAAAUCAAACCAAAUCAAAUCCAAAUGAAUGUUAUUAAAUAUUUAUCAUCCAAAAUCAUCAUUUAAAAGUCAAUUCUACCAGCAAACAUAAGAAAACAACUCAAAAUUUGCAUUUGAUUACUUUGCCUCACAUGUGGAUAAAAUGCAACUUUGCUAUUCGUUUUCGAAGUGCAAAGUAAGACUUUCCGAGUUGGUGUGGUGAAAAUAUUUAUAUUUAACCAGUAAAAUCAUUUUCAUAAUUUUAAUUUUUAACAAGCAGAAACGUCUGCAAACGUUGCUAUUAAGCUUAGAAUAAAUUUAAAAGUGGAAAAAUUACUGUCUUGGGUGAGACUUGAACUCACGGCCUCUGGAUCCCCGUUUAAGAAGCCGGCCGUUGGAUGGCCGUUUAAGAAGUGUAACACUCUUACGGUAGAUGUCGCUAAGGGUCCCCUUGACCUAUAAUAUGGUGGAAAGAUUUGCUGGCUGGGGAUGAGGUCAUGGUGGCUCAGAUGGCAGAGCGCUGGAUUAUCGAUCCAGAAGCCGUGAGUUCAAGUCUCACCUAAGACGGUAAUUUUUCCACUUUUAAAUUUAUUCUAAGCUUAAAAUCAUUUUCUUUAUAAAAGUGACACAAGUAAAAAACAAGGUUAUUAUGUGACGUUGGCGUCCAAUUUACAAGAAAUCGCAUGCAAUAUUAGAUACAUUGGAGGCUAAUUAUGUAGCCCACGCAGUGCAAGUGUUAUUUUAAACGUCAAACUUCUAUGAAAUUAUGACGUAUAUAUAACACUUGCACUGUGUGGGCUGUCAAAAUCACUGCAGACUUUUCUUGGUCUAACUCUAACAAUCACGAUCACAAGUUUGCUCAUUACAAGUCGUGGUAAUGCCACUUUUUAAAUAUAAUUUUACAUGUUUACAUUAAGCGGGGACAAUUGAAUAUACAGGGUGAUUCAAGAGACGUGAGCAGGACUAACACUGCGCAUUUCGUAAAUUAUAAGCAACUGCUUCGUAUCGGUAUUAGUGAGGUUAACGUUAAUUUUCUAGUCGUGUUGAAAAAAAAAGCUAUUAAUUUAUUUACGACAUGCAUGGUCACCCUAAAAUUAGACUACUAAACUAGGUACCGAUAUUGUGUCAAAUUGAAUGAAAUCACUGUCAUCACGGUCUGGUUACUUUUGAAAUCUCGUAUCUCACUCAAGUUUGACAGUUUAUUUUCUUCGUAAUCAAAAUGGUGUCAUUACGGUUAAAGAGGUUUUAUGUUUAUUAAGUAGGUCUUGUAGGGUGACCAUGUUUGUAGAGAAUUAAAUUUGCCCUCACCAAAAAUUUAAAAAUAGGAAAAAGUGAGGUUGUUUUGCCUUAAUACAACGGUGAUUGAUCAAUUGUCAAUUACUGAGUGUGCAGGAUUAGUCCUGCUCACGUCUCAUGAAUCACCCUGUAUAGUGAAUUAUUAAACAUAUAAAGAUACCUACACUGGUAUGGUUAGGUUUUUUAAGGUGUCCGAAAGUUAAGAGGUAUUUAUUCAUACAAUUCUGACAUUAAAAAAAAUCUUACAUAAGCAUACAGUUAAUGAGAAAAAACUGUUCAUGUCAAGGUUCUUACAGAUUACCAGUUCGCCGGACGAUAUCAGCCUGUCAGUUAAUCACAAAAGGUGACAGUUCCGAACAACUGACAGGCUGAUAUCGUCCGGCGAACUGGUAAUCUGUGGGCCCCUUUAUAGCAUUGAUUAGGGAAUGCAAAUCGGUUAUAACCGAUUAUUUUGUCAAAAUUUCAUAACCGAAUAUUGGAAACUCGAAUAACCGGUUACGGUUAUUUGCGGUUAUUUAUUUAAGACUUACAUUGUAUAUUUUUAUCAUCUAAUGGCUACAAAAUCCCGCCAUUUUUGGCUGUGACUAUAAUUUUUGUCAUUAAUAACAAAAUAUACUAAAUUUACUUCCCUUAUUUAUGAAAUAUUUUUAUUGAAUAUUGUAUCACGUCCAAGGUCAUAUUUUACUUUUACUGUAUUUAGUGCGUUUUAUUAAAAAACGAAGACUUUUACUCACAUUCCCUAAUACUGUAGGUACUAAAAUAAAACAUUUUGGAGUUUUUUAAUUACUUCAUUGUAAAUUUAUAAUUUUUCUUCGAAAAUAACCGUAACCGAUUAUAACCGAUAUUUGGUUAUUUUUCGGGCAUAACCGUAACCGAAACCGGUUAUGAAGUUUGGCCGGUUAUUGCAUUCCCUAGCAUUGAUCUUUUCCUAUAGGAAAAUUUAUUAAUAACAAGUAUCGUCAUUUGUAGAAAAAUUAUGGCGGCAAAUUAUUAUUUAAAUAGGCAUUAUCAAUACAGGCCAUAAUUAAAACAUUAAUAAAAUUUAAACAAAAAAAAAAACAACAACCAUAGAUUAACAUUAAUAAUAAUUAAAAAAAAACCUAAACAACUAUAAUUUCAUAUUCUGAUACAACAGAUUUUUAUAAAAGAAAUACUGGACUUCAUAAAUUUGUCUUAGAGCUAAGAAUACAGAUGUAGUGUAUAUUGUUUUCCAUCGUAUUUUCUCGGAACCAUUCGUAUUUGUCAUGCUAAUUCAGUCAACCUCAGUACUUUUUGUACCGAGACUGACUGAAAUGGCAAGACACGUUCGUAUGUUUCCGUGAAAUAACGAUGGAAAAUAAUUAUGCACUACAUCUGUAGAAUAACUAACGUGGCCUUGAAAAAUAAUAUUUACAUGUCAUUCACAGUAUAAAAAAAUCUAUGAUUUUUAUCUGUACUAGUUUAUAUUUUGUUCUAAUUCUUUGCAAAAAAAGAGGCAAACAUAUUUUUUUUUAAUAAAAAUUAUUACCGUUUUCUUUUAGGCAACUGGAGACUAAAGCAUGUAAUAAUAAUAAUACAGAAAUAUGACGUUCUUACACAGAAGGUACUAUGUUGCAUAAACCUACCACGAAAAUCUAAAAUCUAAAUUUCGUUAUCUAACUCUUGCUUAUUCGAGAGGCAGAGACAUAACGAAAAUUCGAUUUUCUGUUUCGCGGUUGGUUGUGCUUAAGGCAACCGACCAACAUGUUAGCUCUUUUAAACGAUGUACCUUUUGCUUUAGAACGACACAAUUUUACCUACUUUUUUUAUAAAAUUCCUAUCCUAUAACAAUUCCUAAGCUUUUUUAAGCAUAUCUUUGGGUGUUUGCGUAACAGUAAAUAACGUAGGACUAAUGUAAUCUAAGUGCGAGGCCUUAGGGGGGCAAAUUUAGACGAUUAAGGCCAAAACUAUUAUAUUUAAAAAAAAAGCAUAGUUUGGGAUUAAGUAGCAAGCUUGUAUACACGGUGUAACAUGAGUAAACCGAAUAAUUUUAACAGCGUAUUCCUGAGCAUAUUUAGAGACAAAAAUGUCCUAUAAACUUUUUUUUAAAAACGCCUAGUUUCAGAGAUAAUAUUAAUUUAAAAAUAAACAAGUUUUUGUUGUUACAUAAUGUAAAAGGCCUUUUUGAUGGUAAUGUUGCUGCUAUGGGACGUAGUCUAAAUAUCCUUAUUGAUAGAUGUCAAAAAGUGACAAGUAACACUUUGCAAAAAGGUUUUACGAAAAAAAAUGUAAAAAUCAAUUGUAAGUAACAAGUUUACCAAUAACAUUUAUUUUUUAUGUACAAAUAAGUACAUUCAAAAAAUUGAAAACACAAAACAAAAAAAGAAUCUUUUUUUGUCGAAAUUGACCUAAACUCAUAUUACAUUUUUUCCUUCUUUUGACCUCAGAAAUGCGUGGUUAAAAUUAUUCGGUUUCCUCAUGUUACACCGUGUAUAGCUGUAAGUACUUUAGAAAAUGCAUCCAUAAUACCUUAUUUUUCGGAUUUUUACAUGAGCAUACUUAAAAAAAAACAGACAAGAUAUUUCGUAAAAUGAAUUAAUCGUUAUUUUAUUUGUCACAUUACUUGAUUUCACCAAUUCUUGGUUCUUGGAUAAUCCAAAUGUGACGUCCCACGGGUAAAGGUACCUUUUGCCGUGGAACGCCACAAAUAUUAAAAUGGUGUGAUGUGACAUAGUGUGGAUGAAACUGUUUCGUAUUUUAUAAACAAGCGAAAUUGUACUUUCUACUAUAAUAGCAUAGUUAAAAUUAAUCAUUUUUCUUAAGCAAUAGCACCUAUGUAGAUAUUUAUAGUAAUGAUAUGAAUCUGAUGUUAACAUGAACACUUAUAUUAAUGUAUGCACUUUAAUUGCAAGAACUGUGCGUUUGUUAUAAUUAUUGUAACCGGUUGGUGGCCGAAACCGGUAUACCCUAUAGAAAAACCGGUAAAAAUGAAAGAAUAGGAAAACAAAAUUAUCCGUGUUUUAUUUAGUUUCAUGCUAAGGUUUUAAUUAGGUAAGGUAAGGCAUCCAACAGGUAUUGUAAUUUUCUUUUUAUGUUUGUUCGACGCUUUUAAACACUUAGUGUACAACAGACAUAUUUUACAAUGAGGAAUUGGUCACUCUAAUGAUAUUCAGAAUAAGAAAGAGACUGACCGCACUGAAUAAUUAUUGAAACUAUGCGAAACAAGCAAUUAUAUCUCUUUUUCACACACGCACCUAAAAACCAUAGACUAAUUUAGAUUUAUCGAAAGGCUAACAAUUUUUAUCACCGUCGUAUUCUAAAGGAAUGAUUUUGUAGUGUUGCGUGUGUAAAAGGCACUAACUAAGAAUUAAAUGAAAUGACCUAUCUACAAGUUGUCUAUCUAGUAUCAGAAACCACAAUCUUAGUCUAAUUAUUUAUUUCACAAAUCAUUUGAUACCACAAAUGACAAUUGAAGGGAUGUUUACAAAAACAACAUAACUGACUACACUGGUUGACACCUGAAACGAUUAACAAUGUUCUUAAAAAAGUGUCAACCGCUCUAAGCAGUUAUGUUGUUUUUGUCAAGAUCCCUUCAAUUUCAAAGUGAUAUAAUCAUAUCAUAUAGUCAUGAGAGGCCCAUUAUGCAUUGUUCAUAAGCUCAGACAUAUGUCAAAAAAUAACUUAAACUGUUACUUCGAAAGUUUAUACUAUAAUAUAAUAUGACGCAAGCACAUCUAUCUAUUCUAGCAAGUCCAAGGAAAUAAGUAACUCUACUGCUCUAAGAAAACCGUUUCGAUAGUGAUAUAAUUUAACUACUCAUAAAAUGUCAUAAAUUCUAUUAGCUCAAAACGGUACUCUACGAAUAGUUAAAUAUAAUUUUAUAACAUACCAAAUAUUAUCUCACUCUUUGGAAUUAAUGGGUUUAUUUAAUAUACAACCAGGUGAGAAAAGGCACGAAUGUACCACUUUUGACACUGACGAACCUCUAUAGAACAUACACAGAAUUUGAUAUAAAUACUCACUGUGUUUGUACGGUCAACUUCACAAACAUCAUUACAAGCCAACGUUCCAGAAAUAUAUUUACCCGACCUUAUUGUCAGUGUCUUACAGACGUGUAAAUAUAUUUUUGGAACGUUGGUUUGUUAAGAUGUGAACUCGACUUUAUCUCUAUGACUUUAACUAUUGUUCUCUCUCUCUACUCUCUCUUAAUAUUAGUCUGUCGCCAUCAACAAAGUGUAUCUUAGGACCACUUGCACCAUCCCACUAACCUGAGAUUAAGCAGUUAAAUCGUUAACCCAGUGUCAAAUUGUACUGAUAAACAUGGUAACAACAGGUUUAACCGGUUAACCCUGGAUUAGUGGGAUGGUGCAAGUGGCGUUUAGUGAGUUUACGGAAACAAUAAAAUUAAGUAGCCAAAAGGCAUGGAUUAUUGAUACACAAUGAUCUUAACCCUAUUUAUUAUAUAACCCUAGUGUAUAACAAUACAUUUCCAUGGUCGUCAGUGGAUGGAACACAAUGUUAUUAUUAUACGUUAUGUGAAGGCGGAUUCAAAUAAGAACCUAAAAUAUGUUAUACAUUUUUGAUCGAUGAUUAAUAAUGAGAAUUUAGCUUUAUAAUUUGUAGGUACAGCGAAUGCAAACAAGUUUUCAUAGUUAUAAUUUGUCUAAAAAAAUAUUAAUAUUUAACUAUGGAAGCGUGUAGCUAAUUUCAACUACGUAGUCCCAUUCAAAAGAAUAUUUACAAAAUUGGCCUAAAAUAACAGUUUUCGUCGACUUUAUAAACAGGUAAAAUAUUAUCUUUAAUCAUUAUAAGCCGAAAAAAUAUCACAUAAACCGUAAAAUAUUUAUUUUCUUUCAAAUUUUAUCAUAAUUUUCAUUUCCAGUAAGUAACUCAUUUGACUGUCAAAAGACUUUAAAUUAAACUUUAGAAGGCAACGGAUUUAAUAAGAAUUUAACUCACUUAACCAAUAAAACAUUGAGACACGUAGUUUUAAAUAAUCACAGAGUAGUUGUGCAAUAGCAGUAAUUUGUGAUUUCGUAGAGAGUAACAGUAGUAAAUACUAAUGAGCAGGAGCGAUAAAAAAAAAUUAAGUAUGUUACGAAUAAAUAAUACAAGUAAUUAAUAUGCGAUGGCCUGAUGGCAUAUGUACACUAUAUUUUUAUAUACAUGCCAAUUAGGCUUCGUUGUUGACAUAGUAAAAUGAAAUUAUAAUUUAAAAUUAUGACAUAGAACACAAAGUAUUUAAAACCGGUUAAAGGAAAAACCAGUGUAGAACAUCCGAGUAAGACCUGAAACCGGUUUUGCACAGAUUUUGGCCAGUCAAUCAACACUAAGAAUAACUUUAUAACUAGAAAAUUGUCGUAUUUCUUAGGCAAUGAAUUUGUUGGUCAUUGAUUUGCGUAACCUUAUAUAAGUAAAGAUUGUACAGGUAGUGAUGAAUUAAAUCUUAUGUCAUCAUCUCCAUAACUUGUA